rnacentral:rRNA from 1 species
UACGAAGGGGGCAAGCGUUGUCCGGAAUCAUUGGGCGUAAAGCGCGCGUAGGUGGCUUCGUAAGUCCGUUGUGAAAGUCAAAGGCUCAACCUUUGAAAGCCGAUGGAUACUGCGGAGCUAGAGUACGGAAGAGGCGAGUGGAAUUCCUGGUGUAGCGGUGGAAUGCGCAGAUAUCAGGAGGAACACCAAUAGCGAAGGCAGCUCGCUGGGACGUUACUGACACUGAGGCGCGAAAGCGUGGGGAGCGAACAGG